UACGUAGGGCGCAAGCGUUAUCCGGAAUUAUUGGGCGUAAAGAGCUCGUAGGCGGUUUGUCGCGUCUGCUGUGAAAGACCGGGGCUCAACUCCGGUUCUGCAGUGGGUACGGGCAGACUAGAGUGCAGUAGGGGAGACUGGAAUUCCUGGUGUAGCGGUGAAAUGCGCAGAUAUCAGGAGGAACACCGGUGGCGAAGGCGGCACUCUGGGCCGGUACUGACGCUGAGGAGCGAAAGCGUGGGGAGCGAACAGG
rnacentral:rRNA from 1 species